UACGUAGGGUGCGAGCGUUAAUCGGAAUUACUGGGCGUAAAGCGUGCGCAGGCGGUUUUGUAAGCCAGAUGUGAAAGCCCCGGGCUUAACCUGGGAAUGGCAUUUGGGACUGCAAGGCUGGAGUGUGGCAGAGGAGACUGGAAUUCCUGGUGUAGCAGUGAAAUGCGUAGAUAUCAGGAGGAACACCUAUAGCGAAGGCAGCUCGCUGGGACGGUACUGACGCUGAGGAGCGAAAGCGUGGGGAGCGAACAGG
rnacentral:rRNA from 1 species